rnacentral:misc_RNA from 1 species
AUGACAUGGAGGGUACGAAACGCAGAUUCCGAAAUUCUCGACCGAGGCAAUCCCUCGCUUCUUCUCCAAAUCACAGACCCCAACAGCUUCUCAUCUUUGUUUCCGGCGAUUUAUAUUAGUUUUUCCUUCACGCUUGUAUAAAUAAAGUGGACUUCUUAUUUGAUUAUUGUUGGACAUCAAGGAUUUCUCUCAAAGGAUUUGGAUACUAGCACGUUGUUAUUGCUGAAGUUUGGAAUUGAUGGAUGUCGAUGGCGGGGAAAGUUCCUCAUCAGAUUCCAUAAGUGUUCGAUCAAUUCCAAUACAUUCUAGGCAAUCUGAAGGUUAUUAGUCUUUUUUAUUUCUUCCCAACAUUGUUACUCUCAAUUUUGUGGGCAGAACUAUAAACUUUUGUAGUUAUAUGUGUAUGUGCAAUUCUGCAUGUAUUGAUCUCUUUCUUUCUUCUUUAGUUUUUUCCCCCUAAUGAACCUUUGUUACUUUGGUGAUGGGGAUCACUUCUACCAUGUAGGAGUCCCAACUCAAAUUACUUUAAUAAAUAAAGGAACAACUUAGGAAGAACUUGACCAAAAUAAAUGUCCUAGUUCCAUGUUAGUUCUGUGCUUACUGUUAUCGCUAACAUUCUCUUCUUAUUUUAAAAGAACUGGUGAUAAUUACUCUCAAUUCUGUCCUAUGCAGUCAGUGCCUGUCUGUGUAGUUGCAGUCCAUUGCAAUACAUGCCUAUCUGUGUAGUUGGAGUCCUGUUGCAGUCCAUACCUUUCUGGCUGUAUUCAUGUUGGAAAUGUGCAUAUGUAAACUUCAUGGUCAUAAAUGAAUAUAUCAUUCAUUCAUUUUCUGUUUUAGGUCUUAAAGUUGGAUAUCUGAAUCUUAUAUACAGAUAGUUGCAACUUAGUUGUGAUCUUUUAGAAUACUUGUCCUUUUCACCCUCUCAAACUCUCAUCCCUUUCUUUGAGUACUUACUCUCUUUUGUGAUGAUGCCUGACAGAUUUUCUUUAUAAGUUCAAACAGCAAAAUAUUCCAGCUUGUAAACCUGUCUUAACACCAGCAUGGGUGAGUGUGAAAGCUACAAUAUAUAUCUGAAUCUUUCUUUUAUACACUAUCAUCAUUUGUUCAUGUAAGAUUGGCUGUCCCCUUUGCAGGUUAUUGCUACACUUUUAUUGCUGGGUUUUUUUUUCGUUCCCAUUGGGCUUGUCACUCUUCGUACUUCUCGUGGUGUAAAUGCCUUGACUAGUUGCAUUAACUUACCAUGAAGCUUUUCAUUUCCUUUAAUUGCAUUAAAACUUAAAAGAAAUCUGUGAUUAAGCUGAGCAUUCAAAUGGUUUUUUAGGUUGUUGAAAUCGUGGACCGAUAUGAUGCAGAUUGUGUACCUGAGGCAUUUAAAGGCAAUAAGGUGUCAUAUAUCAAGGAUACUUCAGUUCCCAAAAAUUGCACCCUUGUCUUGAAGGUGCAUAAGCAUAUGAAGGCUCCUAUCUACGUAUAUUAUCAGCUUGAUAAUUACUAUCAAAAUCACCGAAGGUACGUCAAAAGUAGAAGUGAUCAACAGCUCUUACAUGGACUAAAGUACAAUGACACGAGCUCCUGUAAACCUGAAGAGUCCAACAAUGGUCUUCCUAUUGUCCCUUGUGGGCUGAUAGCAUGGAGUUUGUUCAACGAUACGUACAAAUUUAUUCGCGGGACAGCAGAAUUGAGGAUCAACAGGAAGAACAUUGCAUGGAAAAGUGACCGUAGCCACAAAUUUGGGAAGCAUGUAUAUCCCUUCAAUUUCCAGAGUGGGACCUUGAUUGGUGGUGGAAAGCUAGAUCCUAAUGUCCCUGUGAGUGUUAACAGAGUUUGGCGUUUUGUUAGCUUGCUUUAUAGCACUACUUGGAGUAUAAUAGUAACAUCUUAUAUGCAUCAGCCUCACUCAGUAAUUUUGCAGUGUUAUCUUCUCUUCUAUUUAUAGUCUUCAGAACAGCUAUCCUACAGUUAUCAGUUGGGUAUUUUUCUUCACUUUCAACUGACCUUUUAUCUAUAGCAUAUUGUAAAACUAAAGUGAAACUAUUAGUUUGCAUUAUCAAAACAUUGUAACACUUGGAUGUACCCUUUGGUUGAUUGUGAUGCCAAAAAGUGAAAGGAAUGUGCCAGGGUGAUUAUAACUUAUUAUAAUUGCUGAAUAUAUAUAUAUAUGAUAGAGUGGUGGUCAUGGUGCUGGAGGAAAUGGUUACUAAACCCGUUACUUGAUGGAACUGCCUUUUUUUGUCCUUAUUUGGGAAUUGAACACCUACCGCAUAUGCAUAUCAUACAAGUAAGCUGAAUAUCAAAAUGUAGGAGGACUUUGUUUACUCUUGGGCCCAACAUUAAUGUGCGUACUGUGCAGUUUAUUGUGUUGUAUGUACAUGAUAUGCAGAAAACAGGUCAUAGAUUUUGCAUGGUUCAACUUCUCUGGCCCAUCUUGAUGAAGUCCCAUCACCUACUAGUCUGAUACAAUUCUUUGAAAAUUCUCUUCAGCUAAAACUUGAGUUCUUAUCUUCUUUUUGUUGUUCUCCUGGGCUUUUUGGCUCGUGUGGGUCCAUAUUAAUAGCUAGGUGAUCAAGAGGAUCUUAUUGUAUGGAUGCGUACUGCUGCCCUUCCUAGCUUCCGAAAGCUGUAUGGUAGAAUUGAAGAAGAUUUGGAUGCAGACGAUGUUAUACUUGUUCACCUGAUGAACAAUUACAAUACAUACAGCUUUGGAGGGAAAAAGAAGCUUGUCAUUUCAACGUCAAGCUGGUUGGGAGGAAAGAACGACUUCCUUGGUGUUGCGUAUAUCUUUGUUGGCUCUUCUGCCAUAAUCCUUGCUCUCUUUUUCUUAUUGCUUCAUGUGAAAAACCCAAGGUAAUAGUUAAUUUAUUCCUAUCAUAAUUUCCCAAAUUACUGCAUAUUCAUAUUUGGUCUUCCUUCCUAUAAGUAUGAUUGUGUGAGAAUUCAAUUAAAUUAUUUUCUUACAAAUGAUUUAUUCCAAAGAAAUCCUUUAUAUUUUAAAGAAUGCUACAGAAAUUCUUUGCUUAAAUGUGUUUGCAACUGUUAGUUUUCUGGAGUUUCCAAACAUUCGAACGUCCACAUGCAUUAUUCUAAUUUAUGAUCAAUUAUCAGACGCUGAUUUCAUCAAUCUUCAGUAGUGCUAUUAUGGUCUUCUUCUCUCUUUGGUCCUUUUUUUUCCUGCCAAAAUUUUCUUAUGGUCUGUAUCUGCGGCACUUUUAUUUGCAGGCCAUAUGGUGACACAGCUUACUUAUCCUGGAACAGAAAUGGAAUUUCUAGUUGAGAAGGUGACAUUCAAAAUUCGAGUUAAAACGGUUCCUGUUGAUCUCACUAGAUUGUGUAAAAUUUGAAAUUCUGGAGUGAAGCUCAUUUUGUUAUUUGAUUCAAAAGAAUUAAAGCAUCUUGUUGAUUACACUUUACACAGUACUCUUCAUAGGAAACUGAUCUUAGAUGAACAUCCCAAUUACAUUACGUGAAUGUUGAAACUUGUAAAGUUAUUUUGUUUGAUGAAUAUAUUAAGGGAAAUUUCCUAUUUCAAAAA